AGAGCUGGUUAUCAGCAUGACUGUGUUUUGGUUUUAGCUGUGCCCCCGUCCGGGUCUGUGCGCCCUGCUUGGCAGCAGUGAGUGGUACUAUCAACUUCAACUGGUUUACUCAACCAUGGAGCAUCAUCCAGUGAGAAGUCUUCAGCAGGAAACUUUGCAAACCACUUUUGACACAUUGCAUCAGUUAGAGCUGGGGUCCACAAGGCCACUGACAGGUACCAGACUGCACAGAAGGAGAUUCCCUUUCAAGAUUACCACAAUGAGAUAGCACCUCCACCUGCCAAAAUGGCUACCAUCAAUAAAUCAACAAACAUCAAGUGCUGGCAAGAUGUUGAGAAAAGGAGACCCUAGAGCAUUGCUGGUGGGAAUCAUCUUACACUGCUGGAGCAGCUACUGUGGAAAACAUGGAGUUUCCUCAAAAAAUUAAAAAUGGAACUGCCUUUUGACCCAGUGAUUGCACUUCUGAGAAUAUAUCCUAAGAAUCCUGAAACACCAAUUUAAAAAAAAAUGUAUGUACCCCUAUGAUUAUAGCCAAGGUCUGGAAAUAGCCCCAGUGUCCCUCAGUACGUAAGUGAAUAAAAAAGCCAUGGUACAUUUACACAAGGGAAUACUACAUGGCCAUAAAAAAGAAGAAAUCUUACCUUUUGUGACAGCAUGGAUGGACCUGGAGAUUAUUAUGAUAAGUGAAAUAAGCCAGCCAGAGAAACACAAAUACCAUAUGUUCUCAUAUGUGAAAUAUACUGAACAAAAUAAACCAAGUAACUGAAUAAAAAUAGAGGCAUGGCUAUAUGGAACAGUUACAGUAGUCAGAGAGAAGGGGAGAGGGAAUAGAAGUUUAAGGGAUGAGCCAAAGAAGAUAUAUGC